rnacentral:rRNA from 1 species
GACAGAGGUGCCGAGCGUUAGGCGGAAUCACUGGGCUUAAAGCGUGUGUAGGCGGACCGUUAAGUACCUUGUGAAAUCCCACGGCUCACCCGUGGAACGGCUGGGUAUACUGGCGGUCUUGGGCCACCUAGGGGCAGAUGGAACAGACGGUGGAGCGGUGAAAUGCGUAGAUAUCGUAAGGAAGACCAGUGGCGAAGGCGGGUCUCUGGACAGUUCCUGACGCUGAGGCACGAAGGUCAGGGGAGCAAACGGG